rnacentral:rRNA from 1 species
UACGUAGGGGGCAAGCGUUGUCCGGAUUUAUUGGGCGUAAAGAGCUCGUAGGUGGUUCGGUAAGUCGGAUGUGAAAUCUCCAGGCUCAACUUGGAGCGGUCAUUCGAUACUGCCGUGACUAGAGUUCGGUAGGGGAGUGUGGAAUUCCUGGUGGAGCGGUGAAAUGCGUAGAUAUCAGGAGGAACACCGGUGGCGAAGGCGGCUUUCUGGACAGAUACCGACGCUGAGGCACGAAAGCUAGGGGAGCAAACGGG